CUUAGCCCUGAAAGCACUGAAGACCCAGGAGGCCAGGCAAAGUGGUCAGAGGAGUGGCCCCACAGCUGGUGGUCAUUAACAGCUCAGGGUUGCAUAAAAAGCAGCAGGGGAUGGUUUUGGUCAGCCGGACUAAAGUUACUGAACCAAAUCCUGGACCCUCAGUUCCCUGACCCUUCCCAUUCAGCAAUUUCCACAGACCUCCUUCUGGGGCCAGGCCAGCCUUAGUGCCUCCUGCUGACCCAGGCAUUCAGGAAGAAGAAAAUGCUGUUGCUGCCUUG
rnacentral:lncRNA from 1 species